rnacentral:rRNA from 1 species
GAUUAACGCUGGCGGCGUGCAUAACACAUUCAAGUCGAACGGAACAGGUUGCUUCGGUAAUUUGUUUAGUGGCGGACGGGUGAGUAACGCGUGAGCAAUCUACCUUCCAGUACGGGAUAACAACCGGAAACAGUUGCUAAUACCGUAUGAAAUGGCACCCUCGCAUGAGGGAACCAUCAAAGGCUUGCUGCUGGAAGAUGAGCUUGCGUCCGAUUAGAUAGUUGGCGGGGUAACGGCCCACCAAGUCGACGAUCGGUAGCCGGACUGAGAGGUUGAACGGCCACAUUGGAACUGAGACACGGCCCAAACUCCUACGGGAGGCAGCAGUGGGGGGAUAUUGGACAAUGGGGGAAACCCUGAUCCAGCGACGCCGCGUGAGUGAAGAAGUAUUUCGGUAUGUAAAGCUCUAUCAGCAGGGAAGAUAAUGACGGUACCUGACUAAGAAGCACCGGCUAAAUACGUG